rnacentral:tRNA from 1 species
GCCUCGUUAGCUCAGUUGGUAGAGCAGUUGCCUCUUAAGCAAACGGUCGUAGGUUCGAAUCCUACACGGGGCA